GGGUCAGUAGGUUGGUCGUGCCACCGGUACGUACUGGUCUCACUGAUUCCUCCUUCCUGAAGAACCGUAAUGCCAUUAAUUUGGUGUUGCGGGGAAACAGGACUGUUACUUUGAAAAAAUUAGAGUGUUUAAAGCAAGCUAACGCUUGAAUACAUUAGCAUGGAAUAAUGAAAUAGGACGAUCGAUCCGGUUUUGUUGGUUUCUAGGAUUGACGUA
rnacentral:rRNA from 1 species